UUUAAAAGAAACUGGGUGGGCUUUCCAAAACGGAACCAAUCGAAAUUUCAGCGAAAGUAUAAGGAAUUUCGUCAUGAAACUUGGUGAGGAUGUUGGGGGAGGCCUCCUCAACAUGAAUUGUUCACUCUCACAAUAUAAUUGCUAAUAGUAUUUUAGCAAUUUGUUGUUAAAUAAUGUCCACUAUCACCCCCUAAUUUUUUUAAAAUAUGCCACUUAUCACUUAUAUUUU